GGAGAGGUGCCUGAGUGGUCGAAAGGAGCGGUUUGCUAAAUCGUCGUACCGUUUACGCGGUACCGCGGGUUCGAAUCCCGCCCUCUCCG
rnacentral:tRNA from 1 species